UUAGGAUUAAAUAAGAUCAUGGAAAAUGCCCCAUUGGACACAUAACUAGGAGCUAAUUAAUAAGUGAGCAAAAUCAAAUAUUGUCUCUGUUUCAAUGCUGAGCUAUUGUAGAGUGGCCCAAGAAUCCUCUACAGACUCCCGGGGUGCCCGUACUCCAAAGAGCACCUCCUCUUCCCCUGCCUUCUGUUGAGCACAGCCACUCCCAGGCGGCUGUGACACCUUUCUGGAAGCAGCCAUCUUGCGGACAGAUCAUCCCUUUGAAUCUCCCCGGCAGCCUGAACUUUGUCCUUGAGGGGAGAUUUGAUUUGGGGAAAUCAUCAGACAUCCUUUAAGACAAGUCUGCUGAAUGGAUGCUCAGAAGCCAAGCCAGGGCCUCCUGUCCGGUUCAGUCUGGCCUCAUGCGCUGAAGGCAGUAUACAAAGGAUCUGGACUGGAUCAUCGCCACUGGUUUUGCUGCAGCAGGCCAGAGACAUGAGACAUGGGGCUGGGCCCCAGGACAGGGUGGUGAGGACAUCCCGGUUCCCACGAAAAGCAACCGCCUGGCAAGGCUGGAGCAGACAAAGAGGGAGUGAGGGGGUGUGGCUCACUCCCCAAGUUUUUUGGCUCAGCUUCAGUGCUGGGUCAUUCUUGGGGACUGCUAUACCCACUGGGCACUGCAGAACUUCUGGUGCUUGUGGCAAAGGGGAGUCAGGAGGAGCCCUGUCCCUGGACCAGACCUUCCUGUUUGGGGUACUGGGACCCAGUGGCCCUGUGCACCUUUCCUGAAGCUUCUGGGCCCCCAGUGAUCGAAUGCAGUGGGCUGGGGAGUCACAGACUGUGCUUCCUGCCUUCAUCCUCCGUUCCAGGUUCCUGUGCAUUCGUGGGCCCAUCCACCUGGCUGGGCUUGGCUAGGCUGUGACCUUCUCUGAGGACAGGGCUCUGCCUGCAUUUGGAGCUGCUGGGACCUCAGUGUCACCCCCCACUCUCGCCAGCUGGCCUCACAAAGGUGCCCAGGAGGAGACCUGAUUGCCGGCUCCUUUCCCCUCCCUGGCUGAGCAGAUUCUACAACAGCCUGUGGAAAUUAAAAUAAGAGCCUAAAACUGUCAAAAAAAUUUUUUUAACCAAGUCACAAAUGGGAAAGCUGAGGCGGCAGCAGGUUAAGGACACGUUGUGAUGUAGCGUUCUCUCCCGGUGCUUUCGUACUGUAAACAUCACAGUCCACGGUCCCUGUGAACAGGCAGCCACAGAGACUGGGUUUAGAGUUGCCGGGGGAAGGCUGCAUCCAAAGUGUGGCCAGCUCAGAACUAUUCCACCACAUGGGGGGUCAUUAGUUCUGCUCAGUUCUGUGGGGCCUCACUAGUGUUUCCAUUUAAAAAUAAGUCAAGGUAAAAGAGAAAGUUUUAAAAUCUAACAGUCAUGUAUCUAUUUCUGUAAUUGUAAAGAAAUACACUGUCCUGUGCCGGCUGGAGGCUCUGGAGCAGAGGACCUAGGAGACAAUGUUUUCUUUUUCCUUUUUUUUUUUCCUGAAUUUUCCAAACCAUCUAUAACAGUGUGUAUUGCUUUUAUAAUGGGAGGAGAUAAAAUAGACUUACAUUAAAAAUAAAGUGCACCUGAGCCUACAUGUCA
ensembl:lncRNA